GGGGCUGAUUCUGGAUUCGACGGGAUUUGCGAAACCCAAGGUGCAUGCCGAGGGGCGGUUGGCCUCGUAAAAAGCCGCAAAAAAAUAGUCGCAAACGACGAAAACUACGCUUUAGCAGCUUAAUAACCUGCUUAGAGCCCUCUCUCCCUAGCCUCCGCUCUUAGGACGGGGAUCAAGAGAGGUCAAACCCAAAAAGAGAUCGCGCGGAUGCCCUGCCUGGGGUUGAAGCGUUUAAAACGAAUCAGGCUAGUCUGGUAGUGGCGUGUCCGUCCGCAGGUGCCAGGCGAAUGUAAAGACAGACUAAGCAUGUAGUACCCGAGGAUGUAGGAAUUUCGGGACGCGGGUUCAACUCCCGCCAGCUCCACCA
rnacentral:tmRNA from 1 species